GAAACCGAGUCUUAAUUGGGCGUUAAGUUGCAGGGUAUAGACCCGAAACCCGGUGAUCUAGCCAUGGGCAGGUUGAAGGUUGGGUAACACUAACUGGAGGACCGAACCGACUAAUGUUGAAAAAUUAGCGGAUGACCUGUGGCUGGGGGUGAAAGGCCAAUCAAACCGGGAGAUAGCUGGUUCUCCCCGAAAGCUAUUUAGGUAGCGCCUCGUGAAUUCAUCUCCGGGGGUAGAGCACUGUUUCGGCUAGGGGGCCAUCCCGGCUUACCAACCCGAUGCAAACUGCGAAUACCGGAGAAUGUUAUCACGGGAGACACACGGCGGGUGCUAACGUCCGUCGUGAAGAGGGAAACAACCCAGACCGCCAGCUAAGGUCCCAAAGUCAUGGUUAAGUGGGAAACGAUGUGGGAAGGCCCAGACAGCCAGGAUGUUGGCUUAGAAGCAGCCAUCAUUUAAAGAAAGCGUAAUAGCUCACUGGUCGAGUCGGCCUGCGCGGAAGAUGUAACGGGGCUAAACCAUGCACCGAAGCUGCGGCAGCGACACUGUGUGUUGUUGGGUAGGGGAGCGUUCUGUAAGCCUGUGAAGGUGUGUCGUGAGGCAUGCUGGAGGUAUCAGAAGUGCGAAUGCUGACAUAAGUAACGAUAAAGCGGGUGAAAAGCCCGCUCGCCGGAAGACCAAGGGUUCCUGUCCAACGUUAAUCGGGGCAGGGUGAGUCGACCCCUAAGGCGAGGCCGAAAGGCGUAGUCGAUGGGAAACGGGUUAAUAUUCCCGUACUUGGUGUUACUGCGAAGGGGGGACGGAGAAGGCUAUGUUGGCCGGGCGACGGUUGUCCCGGUUUAAGCGUGUAGGUGUGUGUUCCAGGUAAAUCCGGUUCACUUUAACACUGAGGCGUGACGACGAGGCACUACGGUGCUGAAGCAACAAAUGCCCUGCUUCCAGGAAAAGCCUCUAAGCAUCAGGUAACAUCAAAUCGUACCCCAAACCGACACAGGUGGUCAGGUAGAGAAUACCAAGGCGCUUGAGAGAACUCGGGUGAAGGAACUAGGCAAAAUGGUGCCGUAACUUCGGGAGAAGGCACGCUGACACGUAGGUGAAGUGAUUUACUCAUGGAGCUGAAGUCAGUCGAAGAUACCAGCUGGCUGCAACUGUUUAUUAAAAACACAGCACUGUGCAAACACGAAAGUGGACGUAUACGGUGUGACGCCUGCCCGGUGCCGGAAGGUUAAUUGAUGGGGUCAGCGCAAGCGAAGCUCCUGAUCGAAGCCCCGGUAAACGGCGGCCGUAACUAUAACGGUCCUAAGGUAGCGAAAUUCCUUGUCGGGUAAGUUCCGACCUGCACGAAUGGCGUAAUGAUGGCCAGGCUGUCUCCACCCGAGACUCAGUGAAAUUGAACUCGCUGUGAAGAUGCAGUGUACCCGCGGCAAGACGGAAAGACCCCGUGAACCUUUACUAUAGCUUGACACUGAACAUUGAGCCUUGAUGUGUAGGAUAGGUGGGAGGCUUUGAAGUGUGGACGCCAGUCUGCAUGGAGCCGACCUUGAAAUACCACCCUUUAAUGUUUGAUGUUCUAACGUGGACCCGUUACCCGGGUUGCGGACAGUGUCUGGUGGGUAGUUUGACUGGGGCGGUCUCCUCCUAAAGAGUAACGGAGGAGCACGAAGGUUGGCUAAUCCUGGUCGGACAUCAGGAGGUUAGUGCAAUGGCAUAAGCCAGCUUGACUGCGAGCGUGACGGCGCGAGCAGGUGCGAAAGCAGGUCAUAGUGAUCCGGUGGUUCUGAAUGGAAGGGCCAUCGCUCAACGGAUAAAAGGUACUCCGGGGAUAACAGGCUGAUACCGCCCAAGAGUUCAUAUCGACGGCGGUGUUUGGCACCUCGAUGUCGGCUCAUCACAUCCUGGGGCUGAAGUAGGUCCCAAGGGUAUGGCUGUUCGCCAUUUAAAGUGGUACGCGAGCUGGGUUUAGAACGUCGUGAGACAGUUCGGUCCCUAUCUGCCGUGGGCGCUGGAGAACUGAGGGGGGCUGCUCCUAGUACGAGAGGACCGGAGUGGACGCAUCACUGGUGUUCGGGUUGUCAUGCCAAUGGCACUGCCCGGUAGCUAAAUGCGGAAGAGAUAAGUGCUGAAAGCAUCUAAGCACGAAACUUGCCCCGA
rnacentral:rRNA from 2 species